GUGAAAUCACCACAUUAUCAAUAUCAAAAUUGAUUAUAUGCCUUUCAGUCCUAACGAAAUGAAAUGGGAUAAUUAAAAAACUAUUGACAUUAAUCUUUAUAAAGUUUUACUUUUAUUGACAAAUUGAGUGACCCGUGGAGUUGGAAACAACACAAAUAAUGAUAAUAACUUUCAUUGCACCGUGACGGCCUCCUCAUUGGUAAGGAUGGUGGGCGCAUUAACGCCUUCAUUAAACGCCUUAGCAAUCCUCUCGACAGGGAUCAAGGGCAGAUACGCCGCGGCCGAGUAUCCUCUAUCCGCCGUGUAACAAACCACUUCAUUAUAUUUCUGAGACCAAUAAGCACCAGUGGGGACUGCGAUCCGGGCAACUUGAGGAAAUAGAGGAAGCCGAUUCAACGAAUGCCAGGCCGACACCGUGUAGUGCUCCGCCACCGCUUAGUACUUGCAAUAUAGCUCCUUAGCCGCCGGCUCAUACUUUGUAAACAUCGUCUUCACAAUACUCUUUGCUGCGUCCACCGUGCCAGCGCGCUGAACUUCACAAGCCAUGGCUCUAGCUUGGCUUGAUUCCUGCUUCACCAGGGACGGCACGUGCUUUUCUAAUUCGCUUAGAUAAUCGUCAACCUGUAUAGCACGUGAGCCCCGAAAACCUGCGAAUGUGAUUAUCUACCACGAGAGAAACACUUUGGGACUGGGAGUGGGAAGAAUAUUAGAAUACAGACCUUGCGAUCGACGAAUUUGAGAAGUUCAAACGGAACGUCGAGGAACUUCUCGUAGACUGGUCCGAUGACAGUCUUGACGGUGUCCUCGAUGGCCUGUAACCCCGGUUUUAGCGGACCGGAGUUUUGCUUCGCGUAGUCAUAUAUGGUUGAGAAACAAAUUAUAACGUAAAUCGUCGCCACUUGAACGAAAUCUAAAUACUUG
rnacentral:misc_RNA from 1 species